GAUGAAGAACGUAGCGAAAUGCGAUAAGUAAUGUGAAUUGCAGAAUUCAGUGAAUCAUCGAAUCUUUGAACGCACAUUGCGCCCCUUGGUAUCCCGAGGGGCAUGCCUGUUCGAGCGUCAUUUCACCACUCAAGCCUGGCUUGGUGUUGGGCGACGUCCACUUUGGGGACGCGCCUCGAAACGCUCGGCGGCGUGGCACCGGCUUUAAGCGUAGCAGAAUCUUUCGCUUUGGAAGUCGGGGCCCCGUCUGCCGGAAGACCUGCUCGCAAGGUUGACCUCGGAUCAGGCAGGGAUACCCGCUAAACUUAAGCAUAUCAAUAAGCGGAGGA
rnacentral:misc_RNA from 1 species